GGUCAAGAUGGUAAGGGCCCACGGUGGAUGCCUCGGCACCCGAGCCGAUGAAGGACGUGGCUACCUGCGAUAAGCCAGGGGGAGCCGGUAGCGGGCGUGGAUCCCUGGAUGUCCGAAUGGGGGAACCCGGCCGGCGGGAACGCCGGUCACCGCGCUUGCGCGGGGGGAACCUGGGGAACUGAAACAUCUCAGUACCCAGAGGAGAGGAAAGAGAAAUCGACUCCCUGAGUAGCGGCGAGCGAAAGGGGACCAGCCUAAACCGUCCGGCUUGUCCGGGCGGGGUCGGGGGCCCUCGGCCGAAUCCCCAGCCUAGCCGAAGCUGUUGGGAAGCAGCGCCAGAGAGGGUGAAAGCCCCGUAGGCGAAAGGUGGGGGGAUAGGUGAGGGUACCCGAGUACCCCGUGGUUCGUGGAGCCAUGGGGGAAUCUGGGCGGACCACCGCCUAAGGCUAAGUACUCCGGGUGACCGAUAGCGCACCAGUACCGUGAGGGAAAGGUGAAAAGAACCCCGGGAGGGGAGUGAAAUAGAGCCUGAAACCGUGGGCUUACAAGCAGUCACGGCCCCAAGGGGUUGUGGCGUGCCUAUUGAAGCAUGAGCCGGCGACUCACGGUCGUGGGCGAGCUUAAGCCGUUGAGGCGGAGGCGUAGGGAAACCGAGUCCGAACAGGGCGCGUCCGCGGCCGUGGACCCGAAACCGGGCGAGCUAGCCCUGGCCAGGGUGAAGCUGGGGUGAGACCCAGUGGAGGCCCGAACCGGUGGGGGAUGCAAACCCCUCGGAUGAGCUGGGGCUAGGAGUGAAAAGCUAACCGAGCCCGGAGAUAGCUGGUUCUCCCCGAAAUGACUUUAGGGUCAGCCUCAGGCGCUGACUGGGGCCUGUAGAGCACUGAUAGGGCUAGGGGGCGCCUACCAAACCCUGUCAAACUCCGAAGGGUCCCAGGUGGAGCCUGGGAGUGAGGGCGCGAGCGAUAACGUCCGCGUCCGAGCGCGGGAACAACCGAGACCGCCAGCUAAGGCCCCCAAGUCUGGGCUAAGUGGUAAAGGAUGUGGCGCCGCGAAGACAGCCAGUCGAGUGGCGCCGCGCCGAAAAUGAUCGGGGCUUAAGCCCAGCGCCGAAGCUGCGGGUCUGGGGGAUGACCCCAGGCGGUAGGGGAGCGUUCCCGAUGCCGAUGAAGGCCGACCCGCGAGGGCGGCUGGAGGUAAGGGAAGUGCGAAUGCCGGCAUGAGUAACGAUAAAGAGGGUGAGAAUCCCUCUCGCCGUAAGCCCAAGGGUUCCUACGCAAUGGUCGUCAGCGUAGGGUUAGGCGGGACCUAAGGUGAAGCCGAAAGGCGUAGCCGAAGGGCAGCCGGUUAAUAUUCCGGCCCUUCCCGCAGGUGCGAUGGGGGGACGCUCUAGGCUAGGGGGACCGGAGCCAUGGACGAGCCCGGCCAGAAGCGCAGGGUGGGAGGUAGGCAAAUCCGCCUCCCAACAAGCUCUGCGUGGUGGGGAAGCCCGCAACCCCCCGAAGCCAGGGAGCCAAGAAAAGCCUCUAAGCACAACCUGCGGGAACCCGUACCGCAAACCGACACAGGUGGGCGGGUGCAAGAGCACUCAGGCGCGCGGGAGAACCCUCGCCAAGGAACUCUGCAAGUUGGCCCCGUAACUUCGGGAGAAGGGGUGCUCCCUGGGGUGAUGAGCCCCGGGGAGCCGCAGUGAACAGGCUCUGGCGACUGUUUACCAAAAACACAGCUCUCUGCGAACUCGUAAGAGGAGGUAUAGGGAGCGACGCUUGCCCGGUGCCGGAAGGUCAAGGGGAGGGGUGCAAGCCCCGAACCGAAGCCCCGGUGAACGGCGGCCGUAACUAUAACGGUCCUAAGGUAGCGAAAUUCCUUGUCGGGUAAGUUCCGACCUGCACGAAAAGCGUAACGACCGGAGCGCUGUCUCGGCGAGGGACCCGGUGAAAUUGAACUGGCCGUGAAGAUGCGGCCUACCCGUGGCAGGACGAAAAGACCCCGUGGAGCUUUACUGCAGCCUGGUGUUGGCUCUUGGUCGCGCCUGCGUAGGAUAGGUGGGAGCCCGGUGAAAUACCACCCUGGCGCGGCUGGGGGCCUAACCCUCGGAUGGGGGGACAGCGCUUGGCGGGCAGUUUGACUGGGGCGGUCGCCUCCUAAAAGGUAACGGAGGCGCCCAAAGGUCCCCUCAGGCGGGACGGAAAUCCGCCGGAGAGCGCAAGGGUAGAAGGGGGCCUGACUGCGAGGCCUGCAAGCCGAGCAGGGGCGAAAGCCGGGCCUAGUGAACCGGUGGUCCCGUGUGGAAGGGCCAUCGAUCAACGGAUAAAAGUUACCCCGGGGAUAACAGGCUGAUCUCCCCCGAGCGUCCACAGCGGCGGGGAGGUUUGGCACCUCGAUGUCGGCUCGUCGCAUCCUGGGGCUGAAGAAGGUCCCAAGGGUUGGGCUGUUCGCCCAUUAAAGCGGCACGCGAGCUGGGUUCAGAACGUCGUGAGACAGUUCGGUCUCUAUCCGCCACGGGCGCAGGAGGCUUGAGGGGGGCUCUUCCUAGUACGAGAGGACCGGAAGGGACGCACCUCUGGUUUCCCAGCUGUCCCUCCAGGGGCAUAAGCUGGGUAGCCAUGUGCGGAAGGGAUAACCGCUGAAAGCAUCUAAGCGGGAAGCCCGCCCCAAGAUGAGGCCUCCCACGGCGUCAAGCCGGUAAGGACCCGGGAAGACCACCCGGUGGAUGGGCCGGGGGUGUAAGCGCCGCGAGGCGUUGAGCCGACCGGUCCCAAUCGUCCGAGGUCUUGACCCCUCC
rnacentral:rRNA from 1 species